CAACCCUCAAGCCCUGCUUGGUGUUGGGGCCCUACGGCUGCCGUAGGCCCUGAAAGGAAGUGGCGGGCUCGCUGCAACUCCGAGCGCAGUAAUUCAUUAUCUCGCUAGGGAGGCCGCGGCGCGCUCCUGCCGUUAAAGACCCCAUCUUUAACCAA
rnacentral:misc_RNA from 1 species